rnacentral:rRNA from 1 species
CGCUGGCGGCACGCCUAACACAUGCAAGUCGAACGAAGUAGCAAUACUUAGUGGCAGACGGGUGAGUAACAUGUAGGUAUCUGCCCUUUGGCCUGGAAUAACACGAGGAAACUUGUGCUAAUACCGGAUAAGUCUUUACGGAGAAAGCUUUAUGCACCAUUGGAUGAGCCUGCACUUGAUUAGUUUGUUGGUGGGGUAAUGGCCUACCAAGACUGUGAUCAAUAGCUGAUUUGAGAGGAUGAUCAGCCACAUUGGGACUGAGACACGGCCCAAACUCCUACGGGAGGCAGCAGUGGGGAAUCUUGCACAAUGGAGGAAACUCUGAUGCAGCGAUGCCGCGUGAGUGAAGAAGGCCCUUGGGUUGUAAAGCUCUUUCGUCGGGGAAGAAAAUGACUGUACCCGAAUAAGAAGGUCCGGCUAACUUCGUGCCAGCAGCCGCGGUAAUACGAAGGGACCUAGCGUAGUUCGGAAUUACUGGGCUUAAAGAGUUCGUAGGUGGUUGAAAAAGUUGGUGGUGAAAUCCCAGAGCUUAACUCUGGAACUGCCAUCAAAACUUUUCAGCUAGAGUAUGAUAGAGGAAAGCAGAAUUUCUAGUGUAGAGGUGAAAUUCGUAGAUAUUAGAAAGAAUACCAAUUGCGAAGGCAGCUUUCUGGAUCAUUACUGACACUGAGGAACGAAAGCAUGGGUAGCGAAGAGGAUUAGAUACCCUCGUAGUCCAUGCCGUAAACGAUGUGUGUUAGACGUUGGAAAUUUAUUUUCGGUGUCGCAGCGAAAGCGAUAAACACACCGCCUGGGGAGUACGA